rfam:Bacteroidetes bacterium RIFCSPLOWO2_12_FTLL_31_6 rifcsplowo2_12_scaffold_54839, whole genome shotgun sequence.
AUUAUCGAAGGAUACUGACCUUAAUUCAUAAU